rnacentral:rRNA from 1 species
GAUGAACGCUGGCGGCGUGCCUAAUACAUGCAAGUCGAGCGAACAGAUAAGGAGCUUGCUCCUUUGACGUUAGCGGCGGACGGGUGAGUAACACGUGGGUAACCUACCUAUAAGACUGGAAUAACUCCGGGAAACCGGGGCUAAUGCCGGAUAACAUUUAGAACCGCAUGGUUCUAAAGUGAAAGAUGGUUUUGCUAUCACUUAUAGAUGGACCCGCGCCGUAUUAGCUAGUUGGUAAGGUAACGGCUUACCAAGGCAACGAUACGUAGCCGACCUGAGAGGGUGAUCGGCCACACUGGAACUGAGACGCGGUCCAGACUCCUACGGGAGGCAGCAGUAGGGAAUCUUACGCAAUGGGCGAAAGCCUGACGGAGCAACGCCGCGUGAGUGAUGAAGGUCUUCGGAUCGUAAAACUCUGUUAUUAGGGAAGAACAAAUGUGUAAGUAACUGUGCACGUCUUGACGGUACCUAAUCAGAAAGCCACGGCUAACUACGUG